GGCGCUAUAGUGUAGUGGCAGCACAUGGGAUUCUGAUAAAUGGCUUCCCAUAACCCAGGUUUGACCCCUGGUAGUGCCU